AUCGAACGCUGGCGGCAGGCCUAACACCUGCAAGUCGAGUGGAGCGGCGGACGGCCGAGUACCGCCUAGGAAUCAGCCUGGUCGUGGGGGAUAACGUCCGGAAACCCGCGCUACUACCGCAUAAUAUCAGAUCAGCCUACGGCGGAUUAGCUAGUUGGUGGGGCAAAGGCCUACCCAGGGGACGAUCGGUAACUGGCCUGGGAGGAUGAUCCGUCGCACUGGAAGUGAGACACGGUCCAGACGCCUACGGGAGGCAGCAGUGGGGAGUAUUGGAAAAUGGGCGAAAGCCUGAUCCAGCCAUGCCGCGUGUGUGAGGAAGGUCUUCGGAUUGUAAAGCACUUUAAGUUGGGAGGCGUUACCAACAGAAUAAGCACCGGCAGAAUUCGUGCCAGCAGCCGCGGUAAUAC
rnacentral:rRNA from 1 species